GAGUGAGGAGGCCGCCGGAGUCCCUAGACUGCGAGCGCGCGCGCCACCUCCCCCGCCGCGUCACGGCUCCCAGGCCCGCCCUCCUCUGGUCCCUCCUCCUGGCUCUGUUCCCCCCUCCUCUCACCCUCCCCCUCCGACAGAGCGGUGACUUAAGCAACGGAGCGCGGUGAAGCCCAUUUUUCUCCUUCCUCGCAGCCGCGCCGGGCAGCCCGCGGCGCGCGGCCCCUACACUCUAGCCCGAGAUGAAUGCUGCGGCAGAAGCCGAGUUCAACAUCCUCCUGGCCACCGACUCGUACAAGGUUACUCACUAUAAACAAUACCCACCCAACACAAGCAAAGUUUAUUCCUACUUUGAAUGCCGUGAAAAGAAGACAGAAAACUCCAAAAUAAGGAAGGUGAAAUAUGAGGAAACAGUAUUUUAUGGGUUGCAGUACAUUCUUAAUAAGUACUUAAAAGGUCUUCAUUGCUGCACCCGGGCUUUCUCUAGUUGCGGUAAAGUAGUGACCAAAGAGAAGAUCCAGGAAGCCAAAGAGGUGUACAAAGAGCAUUUCCAAGACGAUGUCUUUAAUGAAAAGGGAUGGAACUACAUUCUUGAGAAAUAUGAUGGGCAUCUUCCAAUAGAAGUAAAAGCUGUUCCUGAGGGCUAUGUCAUUCCCAGAGGAAAUGUUCUCUUCACAGUGGAAAACACAGAUCCAGAGUGUUACUGGCUUACAAAUUGGAUUGAGACUAUUCUUGUUCAGUCCUGGUAUCCAAUCACAGUGGCCACAAAUUCUAGAGAGCAGAAGAAAAUACUGGCCAAAUAUUUGUUAGAAACGUCUGGUAACUUAGAUGGUCUGGAGUACAAGUUACAUGAUUUUGGCUACAGAGGAGUCUCUUCCCAAGAGACUGCUGGCAUAGGAGCAUCUGCUCAUUUGGUUAACUUCAAAGGAACAGAUACAGUAGCAGGAAUUGCUUUAAUUAAAAAAUACUAUGGAACGAAAGAUCCUGUUCCAGGCUAUUCUGUUCCAGCGGCAGAACACAGUACCAUAACAGCUUGGGGGAAGGACCAUGAAAAAGAUGCUUUUGAACAUAUAGUAACACAAUUUUCAUCAGUGCCUGUAUCUGUGGUCAGCGAUAGCUAUGACAUUUAUAAUGCGUGUGAGAAAAUCUGGGGUGAAGAUCUAAGACAUUUAAUAGUAUCAAGAAGUACAGAGGCACCACUAAUAAUCAGACCUGAUUCUGGAAAUCCUCUUGACACUGUAUUAAAGGUUUUGGAUAUUUUAGGUAAGAAGUUCCCUGUUACUGAGAACUCAAAGGGCUACAAGUUGCUGCCACCUUAUCUUAGAGUUAUUCAAGGGGAUGGAGUAGAUAUUAAUACCUUACAAGAGAUUGUGGAAGGCAUGAAGCAAAAAAAAUGGAGUAUAGAAAAUGUUGCCUUCGGUUCUGGUGGAGCUUUGCUACAGAAGUUAACAAGAGAUCUCCUGAAUUGUUCCUUUAAAUGUAGUUAUGUUGUAACCAAUGGCCUUGGGAUUAAUGUCUUCAAGGACCCGGUUGCUGAUCCCAACAAAAGGUCCAAAAAAGGCCGAUUAUCUUUACAUAGGACACCAGCAGGGAAUUUUGUUACACUUGAGGAAGGAAAAGGAGACCUUGAAGAAUAUGGUCAUGAUCUUCUCCAUACUGUCUUCAAGAAUGGGAAGGUGACAAAAAGCUAUUCAUUUGAUGAAGUAAGAAAAAAUGCACAGCUGAAUAUCGAACUGGAAGCAACACCUCAUUAGGCUUUGUUUUAUGACUGGGUAUUCUUCCAGUUCAAAGAAUUAGAGCAUGAAAGAGGGAGAAACAUCUAGGAUGCCUCUUACUUUCUGCCUUGUGCACUCUAUGGCAGUGCCUUUUACUAAGGACACUGGAGGAAGAUCAGAUUUGGGGGCAAAGAGCACAAUUCCUCAGGUACUGCUUUAUCUCUGAGAAGGACCCAGGAAAAAGGGAGAAGUGGAAGACCAGAGAGUCAAAGGAAUCCGCAUGGUCUCCCUAAGUAGCCUGAACUCUGAGCCUGGGAAAAAAACAACUCUUAUCUUCAACCUCUCCCAUUCUAGUCCUUCCUCCUCAGCCAACAAACAUGUUUCUGUUUCUCCAGUCCUUAAAAAAAAAAAAAGUCACUCCCUUGAUAGCACCAGCUUAAGUCGCCCUUCUCCCUUUCAUAUCCGAACUCUGUGUACACUUCCUCUCCAUUUACUGCCUCACUUGCUGUUCAUCUCCCAUCUGGUUCUCAUCUCUCAUUAAACAAAACAGAGGCCUCUUGAUUGUCAAACGAAUAUGUUUAGUUCUUAUCUUACCGGAGGACCUCCCCUGUAUUUGCCACUGUUAGUAAUUCAGUCCUUGAAACUGCUUCAUCUUGUGCUGGAACAGCUCGCGUGCCUUCUCUCUCUGGGGCUCUUCUUCACACACUUACCUUUUCAAUUUUGGUAUGUCCUACUUAGCGCCAUACUUAUCUCAGCUGAUCUCAGCCAUUCGCAUGCUCUCAGCAACCACCUGUUUACUCAAGCCUCCACGCAUUUCUCUCUCUAGCCCAGACUCUUCUACCUGUGAUGCAUUUCCACCCAGAUACCUACUCACAUACGACAAGGCCAAACUUAUCAUAUUCCUCCUGAUUCUCUACCUCAUUUGGGAGUUCAGCCAACCGCCCAAGCCAGAGUUCCCUCUUCAUUACCCUACACAUGUCCUCAAUUACACAUUCCUAUUGAUUUACCUACUAAAUAAUGUUAAUCUAUCUUCUCUCCCACUCCCACUUUAGGCGCACAAAUCUCUUCCUGAAACAAUACAAAAAAUAUCUAACCAGACUUUCCAUCCUUAGCCCCCUCCCCAUCCUGCUGUGUACUACCAAAAUCGAAUCAUUUCAGUCCCCUGCUUAAAGCAUUUGGUGUUGUCUUUAGCCCACAAAAAUGCUCAGAAUCCAAACUAACCCACAAAACCCUCCCUAAUCUGGCCCCUGCCACACACGCAGCCUCAUGUCUUGCCCUCUGUUUUCUGUGCCAGCAUCACCUACUUGCUCUGCCUACACACACUCCUGCAAUGUGCACACACAUCGCACCAUUUCCCUGCUCCUCUCCUUACUUAUGCUGCCUUUGGCUAAGUCAUUUUAGGUGUUAGGUGGUAACACCCCAAGAAUCAUGCAACAACUCGCUCAUCUGCCAUCCCCACCCCACAUGCCCGUCCUCUGGCCUCCAUAGGUACUGAGUAUAUUUCUAAAACAGCUCUUACAAUCCAUGGUUCUGGGUCCUGCAUGAGGCAAUAUAGAAUGGUGUUUUAUUCAUCUGUAUCUCCUGCAUUCAGUACAUUUAAAUGUUUGUUGAAUAAAUGUCAUUAAGAUGAACACUUUUCCACAGUGUUUUGGUACCCUUUGUAGUACCCUGAACACUUUAAUAAGUGUUAAAAAACAAAAAACAAAC